UUCCUACGGGGCGCAGCAGUGGGGAAUAUUGGGCAAUGGGCGCAAGCCUGACCCAGCAACGCCGCGUGAAGGAAGAAGGCUUUCGGGUUGUAAACUUCUUUUAAGAGGGAAGAGAAGAAGACGGUACCUCUUGAAUAAGCCACGGCUAACUACGUGCCAGCAGCCGCGGUAAUACGUAGGUGGCGAGCGUUAUCCGGAAUUACUGGGUGUAAAGGGUGUGUAGGCGGGAGUGCAAGUCAGACGUGAAAACUAUGGGCUCAACCCAUAACGUGCGUUUGAAACUGUGCUUCUUGAGAGUGGGAGAG
rnacentral:rRNA from 1 species